CUUUCUCUAAUCAUUUCAUGAUCCUUUUUAUCUCAUUUUGGGGACCAUAUUACUUCAAAAGCAUGAAUGUCCUGUUCUCGAUUUCUGGUGGGCUGGUGAUGGCGGAGUGUAAUCUCUAUUAGUAAGUUUGUGAUUGGAAUUUAAUCACGAGCCAAACCCUUAAGGUAGUUAUAUUACUGAGAUUAUGGCCCCUGUUCCAUGUAGUGCUAUAGAUCUAUUUUCCUUAUAUUGUUAUCCUGAUUUUGGGGGGGAAAUUGUUGGAGUGUGUGGAAAUAUUUUUCCUUCCUUUGAUAUUUGUGUAUAUCAUUUGUUUGGCAUAUAGCUUGUUAGUUUUGCUAAGGAUUGAAGUGACAGUUAUAUCAAGUGGUUGAUAUACCACAGUGAAGGUUUGACGAGAAUUGUAGAUAGUGACAUCCCUCUCCCAUCCCAAAGAAGUUGUGUGUAAAGGGAAGGACAGCACAAAAUGUAAAAUGCUCAUGUAUGUGAUUUAUUCUUUUAUUAGUAUUGUGGUUAGCUUAACGUCUGAGAUCUUGCUGAAAGUGGACGCGAGGAUGAGCAGUAAGUUUUGAACCUGCAGGGGAGUACAGUAUUACAUAUUUUCUUAAACCUUGGAAUUUCUUUCUGAGAAUUUCCAGAUAUGAUGUUUACUUGUUCAAAAGAAUAUAUUCCAGAUGUGAUGUGAGUUUCUAUGAAUCAUGCGGGCAAAGAUGAUGCACCUCGACGAACUAAAUCAAUCCAGGAGGUUAACCUCGAGGAAGGAGAGAGCUAAGAUCAGGGUAUUAACCGGGAAAAAUAGCUAAAUUGAGAAGAAUAAGAGAGGAGAUGAGUUGUAUUAUGAUUUCUGAAUAGCUAUGAAUCAUUACACAUGAGUAUUUAUAGCUAAUCAUUGAACAAUAACCGCGUAACUAACUUUUGGACUCUGCUAUAGUGAUUCUGUUACAACAGUAAAAACAAACAACUACUAUAGUACUUAACAAACUUAACUAACUUUGAGUCCUAACUGUUUUUGCCUCUUCUUAACCUGCUAUACUCGUAUCAAUACCCCUCCGUGAAGAACAUCCUUGUCCUCAAGGAUUGAAACCAGGAAACCUAGUGUAUAACUUUGAAACAAACUCCCAAGUAGCUUGAAUUGCAGCAAGAUCAGUCCAUUUGACUAGGCCCUAAUUUACUACCUUGUUGCCGCGCUUGACCAUCCUCCUAUCUAGAACUGACUCAGGCUCAGGACAAAAGGGACUAGAUAAGUGCAGAACAGGUGGAUGGUUGAAGCUCAUGGGAACUGCAUAACACUUCUUGAGCUGAGAGACAUGGAAAGUAGGAUGAAUAAGAACAUCCUUAGGCAACAACCACCUGUUGCUUACAGCUCUAAUCCUAGCCUCCACCAUAUAAGGACCAUAAUACUUGGCUUAGCUGCCAGCUUGUUAAAUGGUCUAGUAGCUACUGUAACUUGCCUAUAAGGUUGAAGUUUUAAGUACACCCCACCACCCACUGAAAAUGAUCUGUUAGUUCUGUGCUUAUCAGCAAUGUCUUUCAUUCGUUGUUGAGCUCUAGCCAUGUGAGAUUUCAGCAGUUAAAUGAUGGAUUCUCUAGCUUUUAGUGAUCGGUCGACCAUCUCAAAAGCACUCUCGCCGACCAAGUAAGGCAAAUGGAUAGGAGGUUUCUGACCAUACAACACCUCAUAAGGGGUGCACUUGAUGCUGGAAUGGUAAGUGGUAUUGUACCACCACUCAGCCAAGGGUAUAUAGGUAGACCACUCCUUAGGUUUGUCGCAGCAAAAGUAUCUCAAGUAAGUCUCUAGAGUCCUGUUGAGCACCUCAGUUUGACCAUCAAUCUAAGGAUGGUAAGCUGUGGAUCUCUGCAAUUGCACUCCUUGAAAUGUAAAAAGCUCUUGCCAAAAGGAGCUUAAGAACACAGGAUCUCUAUCACUUGUCAUGGUCACUGGCAUACCAUGAAGCUUAAAAACAUGGUCCAAAUAACACUGAGCUACUGAUUGAGCAGUAUAAGGAUGGUGCAAGCAUAAGAAAUGACCAUGCUUGCUCAGUCUGUCAACCACAACCAAUAUGACAUCCUUCCCAUUAGAUUCAGGAAAACCUUCAAUGAAAUCUAAGCACACAUCAAUCCACACACCUUCAUGAAUAGGAAGAGGUUGCAGACUUGUCUCUUUGGCAUAUGUCACAUUGUUGUAUAAAAGAUCUAACAUCUUGCAAAAGGGAUUUCCAAUAGAAUAGUGAUUGGAAUCUCCAAGUAGUAGCAUCCAUCCCUGAGUGCCCUCCUUAAGUAGUGUUAUGGCACAAUUCCAUGAUUUUCCUUUUCAAUUGUGGAUUAUCACCCACCACUAAUCUACUUUUCCAUCUCGGUUGUUCAUGACACCAAGUAUAGUGCUUAAAAGGUUGAACCUGCAAUCUUGUAAUAAUUUCCUGCAGCUUAGGAUUUUGUAUCCAACUCUCUUUAAUUUCAUCAUAUAGAACAUCAUGUGGAGACAAAAUAGAAACAGCCAAGAGUUCAGCAUCCGGCAUUCUAGACAAGGCAUCAACAACCUUUUUCUCAGACCCCUUUUUAUACUCAGCAGAGAAAUCAAAAGCCAUAAGUUUAGAAAUUCCUACAACUUGAAAGUCAGUGUGUAUCUGCUGAUCUAACAAAUAUUUUAAGGCUUUCUAAUCAGUCUUAACGACAAAGUGUCUUCCCAGCAAGUAAUGAGACCACCUUGUAACGGCAAAAAUAAGAGCCAACAAUUCCCUGUCAUACACAGUCAUGGCUUGGUGUUUUGGAGCCAAGGCUUUACUGAUAUAUGCAAUGGGGUGACCCUAUUGCAUUAACACAACACCAAUCCCCUUUCCACUUGCAUCAGUCUCAACCACAAAAAGCAAGGAAUAAUUAGGCAUAGCCAACACAGGUGUAGAAACUAAGGCCUGUUUGAGUGCAUGGAAUGCUGUAGUAGCCUGGUCAGACCAAUUGAAUCCUUCCUUCUUUAACAGGUCAUGUAGUGGUCUACAAAUGACGCCAAAGCCUUGAAUAAAUCUCCUAUAGUAUCUAGCAAGACCUAAGAAACCCCUCAAUUGCUUAAUGUUGCUUGGAAAGAGGAGGGUGCAUUAGUUAAGCCAAAAGGCAUAACUAAAAACUCAUAGUGGCCUUCAUGAGUCUUAAAAGCAGUUUUAUAAGUAUCAUUCUUGUCCAAUCUCAGUUGAUGAUACCCUGCCCUCAAGUCUAUUUUGGAAAACAACACAGCACCCCCUAAUUCAUCAAGCAAGUCUUCAAUCAUUGGUACAGGGAACUUAUCUUUGAUAGUCAACUGAUUCAAGCUUCUAUAAUCCACACAAAGCCUCCAUGUACCAUCUUUUUUUCCUACUAACACCACUGGGAAGCAUAAGGGCUAGUACUAUGUUGUAUUACCCCUUGUUCCAUCAAUUCUUGCAAAAGUUCCUCAUUGAUAUCCUUCUUGAAAGCAGGAUAUCUGUAAGGUCUUUUACUGACUGGACUAGCAAACUCAAUCAAUGGAAUUCUGUGAUCAAAUGCACCUCUGUGUGAAGGGAGUGUUCUAGGUAUUUCAAACAAACAAGAGUACUGCUUAAUUAGAGCAUCUAAAGCAGGAUCUAUACCAGUAGAUAAAGUAGCUUAGAUGUUGUAGCAACUAGUGUCAGUUGUUGUACUAUCCACCAGUGAUAACAUAAACAAUGGAGCAGCUUGUGCUUCUUGUUUAAUCACCUCUUUUGCCUUAGCAGGCUUAAGUUUAUCACUAGCUCCUCUCAACACAUGUUUCUUUCCCUUAAAACAAAUUCAGCUGUCCUGUUCUUAAAAUCAAAUAGUAUCCUUCCCAAUGUGCUUAACCACUGAAUUCCCAACACAAUAUCCAUAUUUCCUAAAGGUAAUAACAGAAAGUCUGAAGCGAAGGUGGUACGUUGUAGUAAACCACUGCAGAUUUUUACACAGCAGCAGUCUGCACUUUUCUACCAUUUGCAAUACUGAUAGAUUGUUCCACUAUAGGAUUAGCCUGACAACCCAACCUUGUGGCUAUAGAUUGAUCAAUGAAAUUAUGUGUACUCCUAGUGUCAAUUAAAAUUAACACCUGUAAGGGCCUUUUCUCAUGAUACCCUGUGACUCUAAUAGUUUGAUGACCAGAAACACCAGUAAAAGCUUGAAGUGAUAUAGUUAUACAGUUUUCAGGUUCAUUCAACAAUUCUUGCACUACAUCACCAUCACUUAUCUCUGCAGUAUCUUCAUCUUCCAAUACCUCUACCAUAUACAGUUGCUUCUUACUUCUACAAUUAUGUCCUUGUACAUAAGGUUCAUCACAGAAAAAACAAAGGCCUUUUGCCCUUUUCUCAUUCAUUUCAGCAGCGGAAAGUCUUCUACCUGGAAUUUUACUAACAACAUUUUGAUGUACCAUCUGACUAGUCAUCUGAUUAUUUCCAACAUUCUUCUUAACUACAGGUGUGUUAUUAGAGGAUCUUGGUUGAAAUGGAGGUUUAGGGGUAGGUAAUAGGCCUUGCAUCUUCAAACCCCAAGAUUGAACUUGAGAUUCAAAAACUACUUCUUGCAAUCUAGUGAUUUUGUAGGCUUGGUAAAGUGUUCUUGGAAUCUGAAUCCUAACAGCUUUGUUAAGUUCAGGUUUCAACCCUCCUAAGUAACAACUCAAGGCAUUUUCAUCAGACAAGUUAACCCCACAUAACAACCUGUCAAACUCAGCUUGAUAAGCCUUCACACUACCAGUCUGUUGUAAAUUCUUAAUAGCUUCCAUUGGGUCUUCAAAACUAUCACUAAAUCUUUCAUUUAUGGCUAGUACAUACUCAGACCAAGAAGGAUCUUUUGCAGCAGUUCUAGUUCUCAUAAAUGACCUAUGCCAGGCUAUAGCAUCACCAUCUAGAUGAAUUGAAGCUACUCUAACCAUUGGAUCAGGUGGAACCUCAUCCAUGGAAAAAAACUGGUCCACCUUAUACAAUCAGGUUCGCAAAUUGUGGCCAGACAAUUGAGGGAAUUCAAGCUUAGAACAACAAUAAGAAAUUUACCAUUAGAAUCUUGAAAUUCUCUGUUCUACUGGGAACAACCUUGCCCCCUUGGUUCAUCACCACCUACUGAAGAUUCAGCCCUGCCUUCAUUUACAUUUCUUUUCUUCUGAUUCCAAUUUCCCAAAGCUUGUUUAAUCUCCAUUAAUUCCUUAUCUGUACGCGCAUUUCGAUCAUUCAUGAUCAACAUUCCAUCCAUCAAUUUCUGCAAUUGAUCUUGGAUUUGUGACAAUUUCCCAUCGACCUCUUCUGUUGAUUUAUCGACAUUUUUAUCACGCACAACCAUGAUUAUUCAGCCGAGAAUCACGAGCUCUGAUACCAAUUGAUGCACCUCGAAGAACUAAAUCAAUCCAGAAGGUUAACCUCGAGGAAGGAGAGAGCUAAGAUCAGGGUGAGAAAAAUAGCUAAAUUGAGAAGAAUAAGAGAGGAGUUGAGAUGUAUUAUGAUUUUUGAAUAGCUGUGAAUCAUUACACAUCAUUACACAUGGGUAUUUAUAGCUAAUCAUUGAACAAUAACCGC
rnacentral:lncRNA from 1 species